AUUCCUACGGGACGCAGCAGUGAGGAAUAUUGGUCAAUGGUCGGGAGACUGAACCAGCCAAGCCGCGUGAGGGAGGAAGGUACAGAGUAUCGUAAACCUCUUUUGUCAGGGAACAAAGGCGGGGACGUGUCCCCGGAUGAGUGUACCUGAAGAAAAAGCAUCGGCUAACUCCGUGCCAGCAGCCGCGGUAAUACGGAGGAUGCGAGCGUUAUCCGGAUUUAUUGGGUUUAAAGGGUGCGCAGGCGGUCUGUUAAGUCAGCGGUCCAAGACCGGGGCUCAACCCCGGCCCGCCGUUGAAAAUGGCG
rnacentral:rRNA from 1 species